AGAUAGAAGACUGGGAGGCAGUGAUGCAGUUAUGAAAUGUUUGACUGAUUAGAUAAUAGACCUUCCUUAAGUACAAUACUCUCUUUGGCUUAUCAGUUUCCUGUUUGUACGAUGCUUGAGACAAGACGAUCUCUGGUAAACCUUCAUUGAUUUAAAACUAUUGCAUCCCUGUCCAUCCACGUGUCACUCCCUAGACCAACUUUAAAUGCAGAGACAGGGAGGAAAAGAAACAGGGAAAGAAGGGAAAAGGAACAGAUACAUGCAUGCCAAGAGACGCCGCCCCUUCACUCCCUCACCCCUCGUCUGCCCCGUUCUCCUCGCCCCACCCCGCCAGGCACCGAGCAACACAUGGCCCAGUGCCCGCUAGAAGUCAGAUAGUGUGCCACGAAGCCUGCGUCGCUACCCUAGUGCCACACCUCCUCCCAGGCCGAGCAGCUGACGCGGGACACGCCCUGCUCUGUACCUUGGUAGGUGAUAGUGUAAAGACUGCGCUGAAAUGAUGGAAAACACGUGAAAUAUAUGUGUGUCUUGAUUGUUCUGAUGAGGCAACAGUUUCAAAUAAGGGAAAACUAAGGAAAAGGAAAAUAAGCACAAAAAAAGUCGAGAGAAAAGAACGAAGGAAAAAACAUUGAUUCUUUUCCUUUAACCUUCAUUUCCCUUAUUAUCUCACUGACUUUGUGAUCAUUCUUCAUGUCUAGCCUUCCCUCACUCACCCCCUGCACUUCAUAACAAACACUUGAAUUAGGAAACCCAAAUUUUCCUCCCUCACUUCCCUUCAUCCUCCAUUCACAAACCAUCAACACGUCGCUCCCUUCACCUGUGUCCCCUCACCUGUCUGCGUUGCCUUUCCCUCACAUCCUCCUUCCCCUCACCCACCGCCCAGCAUCCUCCUCCUCUUCCCCUUCCCCUUCCUCCCCUUCCCCCUUCCCUUGCCUCUUCCCUAAUCCUACUCCACCUCCUCCUUGCUCAAGUUCCACAUUCUCCGCAACCAUUCCUUUUUCAUCCUCCUCUUCCACCUCCUCCCCCUCCUCCCGUCCCCUCCUCCACCCACCUUCCCCUCCACCGACUUCCUCCUCCUCCUCCUCCUCCUCCACCGCAGACCACGCAUCUUCCCCUCCACGUGCUAACAGGCCAAUUUACGUCACCACAGCAUCCACCGUCCUUCAGAGUCCUACGCCAUCCACUUCUCCUUCACUCUCCUCCAUCAAUUCCCCAUCCACUCGUCCUCCAUCCUACUGCUCCAUAGACGCUCGCCCUUAUCCACUUCAAGGACACGAUCCACCGUCCUCCACCUUCCCGGAGACCAUCAUGGAGGAGGAUGAGUGUGACAGUGUCCUCCACGCGCCCGUUCUUCCCCCCACGCCCCCCGCGCAGGAGUCCGAGACGCGCUCAAGAACCUCCAGGAAGUCCUUCAGGGAUCGAGCAAGACGAGGCUCCUGGAUCAGUAACAUUUCGGCGAUCACGGGAAUAAGUAAGUGUAAUUAAUGGUCCUGCGAGAAGAGCCAGAGUGCCAGAGUGCCGCGGGGAGGAGGCAGGUAAGUGUUGCGAACUUGAAGUGGCACCUGAGUAAACACACGCAACUCGGAACACCUUUAGGGGAGGAGGAGGA